GCGACAGAUGGGAGCUUGCUCCCUGAUGUUAGCGGCGGACGGGUGAGUAACACGUGGGUAACCUGCCUGUAAGACUGGGAUAACUCCGGGAAACCGGGGCUAAUACCGGAUGCUUGUUUGAACCGCAUGGUUCAAACAUAAAAGGUGGCUUCGGCUACCACUUACAGAUGGACCCGCGGCGCAUUAGCUAGUUGGUGAGGUAACGGCUCACCAAGGCAACGAUGCGUAGCCGACCUGAGAGGGUGAUCGGCCACACUGGGACUGAGACACGGCCCAGACUCCUACGGGAGGCAGCAGUAGGGAAUCUUCCGCAAUGGACGAAAGUCUGACGGAGCAACGCCGCGUGAGUGAUGAAGGUUUUCGGAUCGUAAAGCUCUGUUGUUAGGGAAGAACAAGUACCGUUCGAAUAGGGCGGUACCUUGACGGUACCUAACCAGAAAGCCACGGCUAACUACGUGCCAGCAGCCGCGGUAAUACGUAGGUGGCAAGCGUUGUCCGGAAUUAUUGGGCGUAAAGGGCUCGCAGGCGGUUUCUUAAGUCUGAUGUGAAAGCCCCCGGCUCAACCGGGGAGGGUCAUUGGAAACUGGGGAACUUGAGUGCAGAAGAGGAGAGUGGAAUUCCACGUGUAGCGGUGAAAUGCGUAGAGAUGUGGAGGAACACCAGUGGCGAAGGCGACUCUCUGGUCUGUAACUGACGCUGAGGAGCGAAAGCGUGGGGAGCGAACAGGAUUAGAUACCCUGGUAGUCCACGCCGUAAACGAUGAGUGCUAAGUG
rnacentral:rRNA from 1 species